rnacentral:rRNA from 1 species
GACGAACGCUGGCGGCGCGCUUAACACAUGCAAGUCGAGCGAUGAAACUUUAACAGAACGCUUCGGGGCGAAGAUAAAGUGGAUUAGCGGCGGACGGGUGAGUAACACGUGAGUAAGCUGCCUUAGACAUUGGGAUAGCCUCGGGAGAACGGGAUGAAUACCAAAUAAAAUCAUAAUGACACAUGUCAUAACGAUCAAAACUCCGGUGGUCUACGAUGGACUCGCGUCCCAUUAGCUAGUUGGUAGAGUAAAGGCCUACCAAGGCGACGAUGGGUAGCCGGCAUGAGAGGCUGAACGGCCACAUCGGAACUGAGAAACGGUCCAAACUCCUACGGGAGGGAGCCGUGGGGAAUAUUGCACAAUGGAGGGAACUCUGAUGCAGCGACGCCGCGUGAACGAAGAAGGCUUUCGAGUCGUAAAGUUCUUUUAUAUGGGAAGAUAAUGACGGUACCAUAAGAAAAAGCCCCGGCUAACUACGUG